GAUGAAGAACGUAGCGAAAUGCGAUACGUAGUGUGAAUUGCAGAAUUCAGUGAAUCAUCGAAUCUUUGAACGCACAUUGCACCUCUCGGUAUUCCGGGAGGUAUGCCUGUUCGAGCGUCAUUUGUACCCUCAAGCUCUGCUUGGUGUUGGGUGUUUGUUCCGCCUCUUUGUGUGAACUCGCCUCAAAACAAUUGGCAGCCGGCGUACUUGUUUCGGAGCGCAGCACAUUUUGCGAUCCAGAUCAACGUACAGCGGCAUCCAAGAAGCCUUAUUUAACGCUCUUGACCUCGGAUCAGGUAGGGAUACCCGCUGAACUUAAGCAUAUCAAUAAGCGGAGGA
rnacentral:misc_RNA from 1 species